rnacentral:lncRNA from 1 species
GACCAUAUGUCACAUCUCGACCCUUAUAUUUUUACCUUAUUUACUAGCGUGUUUAUAAUAAGAAUUUUACCGUCCCGAUCAUUGAGUAAAUAGUUUAAUUGGUCCCUAGAGGGGUUUCGGGGACGAUUAUGUGCGGAGGAUAAUUCGUAUGAGGAAAAUACGACGACGGUAAAAAUGGUAAAUUUUAGCUAGUAAAAGGUAAUUUUUAUUCGGGUAUUAUUUUUCGGGGUGUUUUUAUUUUUGGAAGUUUGGGUUAAGUGUUGUGGACUGGGUUGGGGUGAGGCCCAAAACCUUUUUUCUCUUCUUCCUCUCUCCCGAUUUUCUCUCCUCCCACCCGGUUUUCCCCUCUCUACACCCAGAAGAAUUUCCGGCCGCCCUCCCGCCGCCGUCCGGCCUCCGUUCGCCGCCGGACCGGUCCCGUUCGGUCGGUCUCCCUCCCAGCUUCCAUUCUAGGCCGGUAGCAGCCCCCCUAGCGCCGCCGUGAGAGAGCGGUGCCGCCCGAAAGCAAAGGCUAUCCCGAACUUCCCUUCGCCGGAACUUCCUCCUCCGGCCACCAAUCCGGGCAAGCUUGGUACGGUUUUGUAGCCCUCCUCCCGUACAACAACCCCUCCAAGCAGCUCCCUCCCUCUUGAGCUAGGUAAGGAGAAAUGUGGAGUUGAAAUUUCUAGGCUUUUAAGUUAUUUUCGUUCGAUUAGCCUAGUUAGGCUUGGAAUUGGGUGAUGUGUUGGUCAUGAAAGUUGUAGAGGAGAUUGAGAGGAAGAUUCUGUUAAAAUUUGGUAGCAUUUGCAGGUCGCCGGAGUUGGUCGCCGGCCGCCGCUGCCGGCGGAGCCGCCGGCGGCGCCGCCGCCGGUUAGGAGAUUUUUAUGGUUUUAAAUGUGGAAUAUUAAGAGGAGUAUAUUGGUGUGAUUUAUGGAAUUUUGGGAGGAGAUUUGGAUAGGUUUGUGAAUUUCCAAAGUGUGGUAUUUUUGGCGGGUAAUUAAUGUAGAAUCCGGCCGUAGGAUUUAAGUCGUAUUUUGGAGAGGUUGUAUUUACGACUGUUGAGUUUGAUAUUUAAGUUCGGAUCGUUCCGAUGUAAGAAUAUCGAAGUUAGGCAAUGAUGAGCGUAAUUAUGGCUCUCGGGUAAUUUUGCCUAUUUUGAUUAAAUAUUGGAUUAUUUGGUUGGGAAUUAAUAUUAUAUUUGGAACAGGACGUGAGGAGGCUCGAGCAGACGAGACCCCAGAUCGACAUCAGGCUUAGGCCUAAUUUGUGAGUGGACUCUUAUUUGAAAUAAUAUGCAUGCUAUGGUUCAUGAUUGAACAUUUCCUUUUGUUGGAGUUUUGACGUCAAUUAAUUUUGACGCUUUUAUUUCUCUGAGAGAGAGUUACCGAAAAUGGGAUUUUCGGUGAAUAUAAAUAUGAAUAUAUGAGAGAGUAUGUAUAGAAAAUGCUAGCUAGCCAUAUGUGUCUGUCCACCUUAAUGGCGUAGCAUAUAGCCGCAUUAUGGUGUGACGUGAGCGUUGGACGUAAGCGUAGUAGCCCUAUUUGAGUGUUUAAUUCAUAUAGGGGGUAUGGACACAUAUUUAUACACCCGUCUGUCCACCUUGAUGGCUAGUGUAGCACCGCAUUAAGGCGUGACGUGAGCGUUGGACGCGAGCGUAGUAGCCCUAUAUAGACCCAUGAAUUUAUAUAGGGAGUAUGGACGAGUGUAAAUACAUACAUAUAUUAUAGAGUCUGAGAGGCUCGAUAUUUUAUGGGAUAAAAGUUUUAUCGCUUGCGGCAUGCAUUCGAUUUUUCCUUAGAAAUUAAUUUGGGGAAACAUAAAUAUUUUAAUUAUUAGUUUAUUUUUGUCCACUCACUCUAACGUUAUUAAAUGUUUUCCCCUGGGCCCUUCGUUUUAAAUUGCCCAGUCUGCAGAGUUCGGGUUGGAUCUAGUAGGAGACGAGGCAUAGUCACCCGCUUUUCUGCCAGUUUUCGCCAGUAGGUUACCUGUUCAACCUACUCGUGUUUUCUUGCUUCCGCUUGUGUUUAGUAGCUCUGAAUACUUUAGAAUUUUUGUAUAUUAUGUGUUAAAUUAAGAGUGUGAUAUUAAUUUUCGAGUUAGGGUUGUCCAUCUGCAAGGGAGAUUUUCUCAAUCUUUUCAGUAAAUUUUCCUUGGAGGUGGUCCCCGCACGACUUAUUCUGGGUUUCAGGGUGAAAUUCGGGAUGGGUCGUGUCACCAUAUAAAUCACAAAUACAUUAUGACUUGCGUAGAACGUUGUAAAGUCAUUGAAGAUGAGAUAGGUUGAGGGAAAAUGAAACACAUUAUGACAUGCAUCUCUCAAUGUAAUUUCCACUUCAUAACUUAAUUAGUUGAUUUUUUGUAUAGAAUUAACAAGAUUUAGUCACAGCAUCUCCAGUUGCAUAAGAUUACACGACCCUUACUUCUAAUUUCCAGUAAUGCAUGUUAAACCUAUAUGUUACAUAUCUUGAACAAGUAAUAUCCAUCAUGAUAAUUUCGUUUGUGCAAAGAAAAAGAAAAAGACAAAAAAAAGGGAAAAAGCCCUAAUGCACAAAAUAGAAAAAGUCAAACCCCAUUUCAAUGAUAAUCUUUUUUAUUAGCCCAUUUAAAUACAAGGUACUUAUUUUAAGCCCAAAUACACAAAUCUUUAUUAAAAUAUAAUAAAAUUAUAUUUUUAAAGACUUUUUUACCCUUAGCUUUUACUUAAAGAGAAAAAGUGAAAAAGAUGGAGAGAAGAUUUUGCCGGAAGCACACCGGGCUCCGGCGCCAGUCACCGGCGGCCGCAUUCCGGUCGCCGGACUCCGAACUCCGGCCGCCGGAAUCCGGUCACCGGUGACCGGAAUUUUCCGACGACCAGAAAAUUGCCUAGUAAACUUUUACUACCCCCAGUAAUCCUUUUUACUACCCCUAGUAAACUUUUAUUNNNN